rnacentral:rRNA from 1 species
AGGAACAGCAAGCAACCUCGAUUGCUGCAGUAAUGGCGAAUGAACGAGCAGGACCCACGGCUCUUCCUGAAAUUGGGACUCCUGACUCCAGGCAACACCCAAGUGGUGACUGUCUCGAUCGGCUUUCGUUGGAUUCCAGCAAACCUUGUGGGCUUUGGAGUGGUUGGCUGCGUUUGGGCGAUCCCAGUGCCAAGAAGAGACCUGGAAUGGUCCCACAACACAGGGAGACUGUCCCGUAUGCUUGGCUGUGCACUGGGAUUUGCCUGGAUGUGGCUGGCUGCAUCCUUGAGUAGAGUGGCUUGGGACUGCAGUUUGAAGAGCGACGUGUAUCCGUCGCAAGGAGGCAUACAGACCUGGGACCGAUAGAGCAGAAGUAGAGUGAUCGAAGGAUGCAAAGAACUCCGUGAAGAGGGUUAAAAGCCCCUGAAGCCGCAACAGGAACGGUGGUGUGCAGUGCUGUUCGGCUACGAUCCUCCAAGCGGCCCUGGGUCAGCCGGAGGCUGGUCACUGAGCUCCCAUCUCCAGAUGGGAAUGACCAUCAUGACAGCUUUGCGGUGGCAGGUCCGCCCUGCCUGGACCCGGGGUUCCCCAGUGAAGAAGUCUUCAUCAACACCUCAGUGUGAUGUGGCUCUGGAUGCGCAGCAGACCACUGGCCCACAGACCCAAGAGAGAGAGUCUCCCUCUGUGUGGUUGGCUGGAAUGCUUGAUCAAUGUUGCUGCUUGUCCUCUGAUCCUGGUGUGUCUUCGGACAUGUCAGUCGCUGUGGGUUGAUCUGGAUGGAGUGUGCUUGGCUACGCUGGGGACUGCACCAACUUGUUGGUGGUCACCGCGUUCGGCUGCACCGCUCCCCAGCUUGGCUCCAGUGAGAAAUGGCAGCGGAGCUUGGCACUUCCUCGCAGUGCUGCUCUCUGCCCGUCUUGAAACACGGACCAAGGAGUCUAAGGAGCUUGCUUGUUGGAUGGCUGAUAUUCGAAACCUCUCUGAGGCGUGGUGAAGGCAACGUCCAUUUCCAGAUGGGCUUGAUAUCUCUGCAUGGAAUGACCGGACCCGAAGUCCAGCGGACAGGGUUUUGAGUGCUUGCAAGGUCCUUGGGACCCGAAAGGUGGUGAACUAUACCGUUCUACGACGAAGCCAUGGGAAACUGUGGUGGAAGUCGGUCGCUGUUCUGACGUGCAAAUUGUGUAGCCUGAGUGCGGCAUAGGGGUGAAAGGCCAAUCGAGCCACCUAGUAGC